rnacentral:lncRNA from 1 species
AAUAAUGCUUACUAUUUAGUUCAAAUGUUUCAAUGAGCAUUUUGGUUGGUUUUAGCGAAUAAAUAAAUUAAACAACCUCAGAACUCAUGGAGAAAAGGCUAUUUUUCCUAACUAAGCAUAACUUGAGACUUAAAAAGAAAAUGUUUCUCAGAAAAUGGAUCUUACCUGGAUUCUAAAUUCUAAAAAUUAAGGAGAAAACCAUAAUUGAUUUUAGGUUUUUGUUUGUUUCUACAUGUCCAAGAAAUUGACUAAAUUCCUGUAAUUCUGUUUGUCAGCUGAUGAUCACACUUCAUAAAAACUUUUACAUUAACAUCUCUAAAUUAUCCCUUCAGUUUUACCUACAGAAAACAACAUGGUACUUUACAAAUUUAUAUAAUAAUAGUACCAGCCAUUGAUUGAACAUUCAUGUGCCAAGCUCUAUGCUGAGAUUUUGUAUUUAUAUUAUUUAUCUCAUAGGCAGUGAUUAUUGUAAAUUAAUUUAAUCUUUUCCCUCAUGUUCCAUACUUUUUCUGAAAAAAAAGCCUAUAAAUUUACCAUUUGUGUGCUAACUGAAAUAAAAUAAUAUAAAUUAUUAAGUUUUAGACUAGAGAAAGAAGAAACUUAAAUAAUAGUCUGUUGGAUUGAAAAUAAAAGAAAAGAUUGACUUCUAGCCAAUUCUGGCAGAUCAAAAAGCCACAAAAGGAUCUGGG